GGAUGAUGAGAUUUACAAUCAGGUAUAUCAACAACAUUAUGAGUGCCCUCCUCAUAAAGCCCAAUCAAGGGGUUGGUGGAUGAACCGCGAACAGCCAGCUUAGCCCGACACCUCCAUCCCCAUAAUCUACAGGAGUCAAAUGAAAAAUCUUUGAUUCCGAGCUUGUUGAAGAAACCAAUAGCUUCAUCAAUUACAACCGGAUGAUGUAGAUUGUACUCUUGAGUACAACCAGAACACGAUUGGAAAUGAGUGCAGUUGAGGGCGCAGGACAAGGAAGGAUUAGGGUUUACAGGGAGAGGUGAAGGAAGUCAAACU
rnacentral:misc_RNA from 1 species